CUUCUCCUGGUGGGAUUUUGUGCUGUCUCAUUGCUAAGUCUGUCUUUGGCCCUGUUGUCUGGCUGUAUUUCCUGGACCUGGUUCAUCUCCUUGCUGUGACUGGAGCUACUUGUGGACCCUUUUAUCAGUGCCCUGUGCUGCUCAUGCUGUUUAGACCCUCUGGGCCUGCCCUCUGCUUGGUGAGGGUGUUGUGUCUGUUGGGGUCACCUUCUGGCCCUGGCUUGCUCCUACUUAUAGAGCAGCCCUGUUCUGCCGAUUCCUGAUGAUCUCUUGAUUGAGUAUUUGGCUGGCUGUUGGCUCUUCAUAUGGUACAUGUUUUCUGUGGAUGACCAACCUGAAGGAAGAGAAUGCAGAGUGUACUUUUGUCCUGUUGUACUUGGAGGGCUGUGGAACACAUCUUCUUAACAGCCCUGGAGAAAACACUUUAUAACCUAUGUGUUAGACUCCUUGGAGAGGGAAAUGCAUUUGCUGUGCCUGGAGGGCUGGAUGAAGGAGAAAAAGCCUGUUAGAAAACCAGCAAGCGAAGAAGUCUGGGUACAAAGGAGCAGUCAUCUUGAUGGAGUCUCCUUAUGUCUCAGGCUGCCUAACCAGGAAUGCCUCAGAAAACGUGCAGUCCAGUCUUCAUUUAACACUGUUGAAAAUACCCAGAGGCCUGUAUAUAUCCAUUAUGAUCUUGCCUUAACUAUAGGAAUAAAAUUCAUUCAGCAGUAAA